rnacentral:tRNA from 1 species
GGCACCGUGGCGGAGUGGUUACGCAGCGGCCUGCAAAGCCGUGUACACCGGUUCGAUUCCGGUCGGUGCCU